GGACCCUAAGAAAUUAAGUGAGUAUUUGGGUCAGAGAUCUAAGGAGGUAAACCUUAUGUGGGGUUUGGCUUAUGCAUACGUGCUUUGUAUCAUACUAUUCUGAGAGAGAGAGUUUCCGAUCUGAGAUUCAAGCCCAAGUUUAAUUCUGAUCAGUCACAGGAGGCAUCAGUAGCAAUAUCAGUUGCCCCUGUGGAAGGCAAGAAAUGGAAACGGGUGUCCACGCGUCUAGAACGAAAAGAAGGAGAAGCACAGGGGGGGGCUGCAGAAGACCAGGUGCCGGGCAUGGAGCAGUACCGAAAAAGCAAAGGCAAAAACCAAGAGGCAUGAAGAAGAGACUGAUGAUGAGGAGGAAAUCACCUAUUGUCGACCUCUGAAGCUGACUGAAAUCCAAGGCUCAAGAAAGGAGUUCACACGGCGUCAAGAUGAAGUAUCAGAAACAACUGAUGAAGGUCAAUCCUCGUACGGGCCACCAGGUCUAAUGAAGGAUCUGAUCAAAGUAUUCCAGUCCUACUCCUCACCUGCAUCAUCAAAAGUCUCAGCUGUUAAACGCACACGCUUCCCAGCUCGAGCAAAGAACAACAGUACGAUUGCACCGCGUGUUUCCAUGUGGCGCUACCUACGUGACCGUGGAGAAGACAUGAGGAAGUGGCAUGAUCAGCCCACUUCUGCACUACGAGCACGGGUGAAAGAACUACUAGACAUACCAACCACCAGUGGAGUUGCUCCAGUCAUCACAGAAUGUAAGCCACAGUUUGCCUUCACCUGGAGGGGCAUUCAGUAUACUUGGAACCGUUUGCCCCAGGGGUGGAAACACAGCCCAACCAUUUGCCAUGGGUUGGUCCAAACUGUACUGGAACAAGGUGGUGCUCCUGAACACCUGCAGUAUCUUGAUGACAUUGUUGUGGGGUGA
rnacentral:lncRNA from 1 species